GGAGAGAAAUCUUGUGCUGUGGAGCUUUCCUUGUGCAACCUUUGUCCUGGAGGGAUGAGUUUGUAGUGCAAAAAAAGUGCUGUGAGCACUGAGUUUGUUCCUCUCCCUUGCUGUUUCCUUUCUGCAGAGUGUGUGGGAAGGUGUUGACUGCCAAUAGGUCUAGUUCCUGCUCUUUCCUUUAAACUGGGUCAUCACAAUUUACCCUCCUACCUUCAAGAAACUCAGAGGCAUAAAACAGAACAAACAGGACUCAGCAGCUCUGCGCUGUAAUCCCACACCAGCUGUAGGAGGGUGAUGCAAAAGGAAGAAAGUGCUUCGUGCUCUCCUUGUACCCACAACAGCGCUGUUGGGUUCAGAGUCUGAGCUGUGGUGUGGCCACGAGGGAUCCAACCUCAUUGCCCAUGGGCAUCCUUGAUAUCAGCUGAAGGGAAACAGGCCCAGUGGUGCCAUACCCAGGCUGGGCACUGCUAGCAAUGAGUUCCUCGCAUUGCUGAGCAAUUCCCAGCUUUACAAGCUUUCCUGCCAAGAACUUCCACCAGCUACAGAUCUUAUCCUCCCUUACUACCUGUAAGUGAAUGCUCUCUCUCCAACUAUUUGUUAAAACUAUUAAUAAUUGCCAGUCUUCUCAUGUACUGUUGCCUUGAAGAUAUUAAUAUUUAUAAGCUGUGAUCCUGUCCCUUUUGAGUCAAGGCAGUGCCAUUGUUUCUAUUGCAGCCACAUGUCUCGUUGUCCAGUUUGAGGGUUUUGUAACUCAGCAGUGGAAGUUUUCUCUGGGCUGGAAUUUGGAAAGUAGAAUUUCAGAUUGGGAGCAACUAAAGAAAAAAAUCAAAUACAGCUAUUAACAGUUAUACUUAUGGAAA